rnacentral:rRNA from 1 species
GACAGAGGGUGCAACCGUUGUUCGGAAUUACUGGGCGUAAAGCGUGUGUAGGCGGGUCGUUAAGUGUCUUGUGAAAUCCCACCGCUCACCGGUGGAACGGCUGGGCAUACUGGCGACCUUGAGAGGCCUAGGGGCAGACGGAACAAGCGGUGGAGCGGUGAAAUGCGUAGAUAUCGCUUGGAACGCCGACGGCGAAAGCAGUCUGCUGGGGGCCUUCUGAUGCUGAGACACGAAAGCCAGGGGAGCGAACGGG